ACUAUACUGAAAAGCUAGCAGCCCGGCACCAACCAUGUCCAAUAUGAAAAAGAAAGCAGUAAUGAAGGUGGGCAUGAAGACUCCAGAGGACAAGAUAGAUAUCAUGAAGGUUGUUGCUAAGCUCAAGGGAGUUGAACAUGUAACCUUGGACGGUGAGAGACAAAAACCAACGGUGAUCGGAGAGGUGAAUCCUUGUCUGAUUGCGAAGAAGGUUUUGAACAGGAUUUUUUUUGUCUGGAACCGAGACAAGUACCAGAACCGUACCUGGUACCUCACGUGUACCGAAUGAUACCGGAACCGAAAUAC